UACGAAGGGGGCUAGCGUUGUUCGGAAUCACUGGGCGUAAAGGGCGCGUAGGCGGCCGCUCAAGUCGGGGGUGAAAGCCUGUGGCUUAACCACAGAAUUGCCCUCGAUACUGCUUGGCUUGAGACCGGAAGAGGUGAGUGGAACUGCGAGUGUAGAGGUGAAAUUCGUAGAUAUUCGCAAGAACACCAGUGGCGAAGGCGGCUCACUGGUCCGGUUCUGACGCUGAGGCGCGAAAGCGUGGGGAGCAAACAGG
rnacentral:rRNA from 1 species